CACCAGAAGCUCCGCCCCCACACUGUGAUUGAUUGGCUCCCCUGCCUUCGAUCGCCCCGCCCCCAAUUUCUGCAGAACCUGAGCCAGAACCAAACCAUCCACACCUACAACAACUCCUGGAUGAAAACAAAGGGGUAUUUGAGAUUUGAGCUCUGCUGGAAAGCGCCAGACGCCAUGAUGGCGGUUAUCAUCAGCUGGACGUGACGAAUCUUGGACCGGCGUUGAUCAAUCAACAGCGAUGAGCCGGAAGCUCUGAUUGGAUGAUGCAGGUGUAGAAAUACCUAUCAUCUUGGUGUCGUGACCCGGAGCUCAACAUACCCGCUCGCUGACAGGCGAAGAACGAUGCGCUGAUCCGUGCACGGCCAGAGUCAACAAAGUCCUGGGAAGUAACUUCUUAUCUGGGCCAACGUCCAACUUUGUCUGCCAGCAGCGGAUUGAAGAGAUCCGAGCAGACGAGACGAACCGGCAGAAACGAAGCCCCUCCCAUCAAGCCAGGAGACUGGCUGAAUGUCAAAGUCAUCAAAAGGAAGAGCUGGGCCGGUCAACGGUGGGAGGACUGACACCCCCUGCCACAGAUGGACCUCCGACUACCAGAAGAAUUCACUUUGGUUGGUUUUAAGUCAGGAGCCCUUGGUGUCUCUGUGGAUAACCUGUGUAACAAAAUCCACACCUUCGGUGACGAGAAGGCAAACUUUUCCGCCUUCCAAGCAACGAACCACGUCAGCACUGCCUGUUCCAAAAGAUGGAGGUCUGACCACAGUUCUACCAGCGUUAACCUUCUCAAGGUGAGGAAAUUCAACAUCAGCUGUGAGACCAGGGGACGUCAAAGUUUCACCUCCUGCAGCACCUUUGUUCCAGGGAACAGAGGAUCCAGGACGAUGGCAGACUGGUACUUUCUGUGUGGAUGCACUGCUUAUGCUUCUUUUCCCAGGAACUGGGGAGGACUGUUAGCCCUGGUUCCCCUCCAACUCAGUGACUUUCCUGAAAAAGGCUCAGGACGUUCACAGCCAUGGACACUACCGCACUAGGAGAGACGUCAUGCCGAAAGUCCAAAGGUGGGGAGACCGUACUACAAAAUCUGGAGUUCCUUGGAAAUUCAGGAUCUGGACGGUGGAGAAAAGUUUAUGUAAAGCCUAAUCCCAUCGGUGGGAACAGCAGAAGUUUCAGAUCAACAGGUACAUCCUGUUGCGUCUCAUCAACAACGCUUACCAGCUAGCCAACGGCACUGCAAAAGAUCUGACGGCAUUGAGAAACAUGGUCCUGCAAAUCUGUGUUAUGUUGGAUCGUCUCACAGCCUCUCAUUAAUGUGUCUGCAAGUUCAUAGGGGCUCAGCGUGCUACACAUUUCGUCCCUGACAAAAAAGGAACUGGAGGAACUAUACAGGAUGGCCUGCAUGAAUUGCAAGAGCUUAAGGACUAUGUGGACAGAGCAACUCAGGGGUCAUAACCUUUUGACCUUGUUACUUGGCUCAGUGUUUCCCAAUUCCAGUCCUCAGGCCCCCCCUGCCUGCAUGUUUUAGGUGUUUCCCUUUUGCCACACACCUGGGUUGAAUCUUUGGGUGAUUUACAGGCUCCUGCAGUACUUGGUGGCUGCAGAAGAUGUCAUGCAAUCAUUUGAAUCAGCUGUUCUGGUAUAGAGGCACAUCUAAAACAUGCAGGCAGGGGGGCCUGAGGACUGGAAUUGGGAAAUACUGACUUGGCUCAACCCCACCCCUGGUGGCAGCUUUUGUUAAAGAUUGGAGCACCUAUCUUGACUGUACUGAUCCAUCAUUCCAUGUCUUCAUAGCAUGAUGCUAAAGACAUUUAACUCUGGUAGCUCUGAUCAGCUACCAGUAACCUCUGACACAGAUGACUGUAUAUUCCUCCAAAAGACUGAAGACCAACUGAAAACAGGAACAUAUGACGAUGUUCUGUAGUUCAUAAAAAGAUUAAAUCGUUUGCUUAAUGGCUCCUACACUGAACAUGUAAAAACAAAUUAUGUUCGUGAUGAAACAUGCAUUUGGUUUUUUACUGUUUCAUUUUUACAUUAUAAUCUUUAUUAUAUAUAAAUAGCAUGUGUUUGUAUUCUUUUGCUCAGCAACAUAAUAUACAUAUGUAUGCUAUUUUUCUUUUUCUUAGAUUUUACAAAGCUAUUAUGUAAGGAUUGUAAACAGGGAGGAAUGUUGAAAAUAAUUGUUUUGUCAUUCUUACAUAAAUAGUUACCAGUUUGUUUUUCAUUCAUAGGUUUAGUAUUCACACCCCAGAGAGGAGAAAUUUGUUAAACCGUGUGAAAGACAAAACUUGUUUUUUUUUCCUAAACCUUAACGCUGAAGCUGAUUAUUAUCUUGGGAUACUUUCUAAAUGGCCUGUGUCUAGAAUGAUAGUUACGGUAUUCUUUUAUUUCUUUCUCUAUUCAGAAGAACCCUCCCUCAACAUUACAUUCCUGCUCUGUUUUGUAACAAAAGAACAAUUCUGAUGCAAAGUCAGAAAGCAUGGUAAACACCUUGAAGAAGUUGUUUGCUAUGUUUUCUCCACCUGCAGAAGCUGGGUUAACUCAAACAUUGUCUGUGGUUCCCUUUAUUGUAGAUUUAAGAAAUACGUAUCAGGGCUAAAAGAGUCUUCCGAUUUGAAUUUACGCCGAGGAAUCAUUGACGUGAAAAAACGACAAAACUGAAACAUGCUACGCUAUGAUGUCAAAAAACGACAAAUGAUGUCAAAA